rnacentral:rRNA from 2 species
GAUUUCUGGUCUGACAUGCCUGGCCCGCCGGGGUCACCCGCGUGAGUGCCGGUGCGCGUCUACCAUCCUUCUGGAAAACGGCCUUACCCUUCACUGGGCCGAGGUCGCGAUCCAGAUCUUUUACUUUGAAAAAAUUAGAGUGUUUAAAGCAGGCUUUUGCUAUGAAUACAUUAGCAUGGAAUAAUAAUCUAGGACUUCGGUUCUAUUUUGUUGGUUUCUAUAACUGAAGUAAUGAUUGAUAGGGAUAGUUGGGGGUGCUAGUAUUGGCCGGCCAGAGGUGAAAUUCUUGGAUUCGGUCAAGACUAACUUAUGCGAAAGCAUU